CGUUCUAUGGCCAAAAUUAUGGUAAAGGCAUCGCCGAUCACAGGCGAGAUUGCGGGUUCGAGUCCCGCUGGAACGA
rnacentral:tRNA from 1 species